ACGCGUGGGAACGAUACCUAACUAAGUACGGAAUAAACGUUUAGGUAAACGAAGCGCUAAUAACCGUAUACGCCCUUUCGGGGGUAAAGGAAUUUAUUCGCUAUUAGAUUGGCCCGCGUUGGAUUAGCUAGUUGGUGAGGUAACGGCUCACCAAGGCGACGAUCUAUAGCUGGUCUGAGAGGAUGAUCAGCCACACUGGGACUGAGACACGGCCCAGACUCCUACGGGAGGCAGCAGUGGGGAAUAUUGGACAAUGGGCGCAAGCCUGAUCCAGCCAUGCCGCGUGAGUGAUGAAGGCCU
rnacentral:rRNA from 1 species